rnacentral:rRNA from 1 species
GAAAGAUGGUUUUGCUAUCACUUAUAGAUGGACCCGCGCCGUAUUAGCUAGUUGGUAAGGUAACGGCUUACCAAGGCGACGAUACGUAGCCGACCUGAGAGGGUGAUCGGCCACACUGGAACUGAGACACGGUCCAGACUCCUACGGGAGGCAGCAGUAGGGAAUCUUCCGCAAUGGGCGAAAGCCUGACGGAGCAACGCCGCGUGAGUGAUGAAGGGUUUCGGCUCGUAAAACUCUGUUAUUAGGGAAGAACAAAUGUGUAAGUAACUGUGCACAUCUUGACGGUACCUAAUCAGAAAGCCACGGCUAACUACGUGCCAGCAGCCGCGGUAAUACGUAGGUGGCAAGCGUUAUCCGGAAUUAUUGGGCGUAAAGCGCGCGUAGGCGGUUUCUUAAGUCUGAUGUGAAAGCCCACGGCUCAACCGUGGAGGGUCAUUGGAAACUGGGAAACUUGAGUGCAGAAGAGGAAAGUGGAAUUCCAUGUGUAGCGGUGAAAUGCGCAGAGAUAUGGAGGAACACCAGUGGCGAAGGCGACUUUCUGGUCUGUAACUGACGCUGAUGUGCGAAAGCGUGGGGAUCAAACAGGAUUAGAUACCCUGGUAGUCCACGCCGUAAACGAUGAGUGCUAAGUGUUAGGGGGUUUCCGCCCCUUA